CUAUUCUCAGCUAUGGUUGGUUUUUUGAACCCUGUUGUAGAGUCCAUAUUUAACCUUAGAUUUACCAAGAGCUAUACAAAUAAUUGAAGGUUAAUUAGCAGAGUAACUGCAUAUAGUAAUUCUGCCAGUCUCCUUCAGACAAAA